rnacentral:misc_RNA from 1 species
CCGUGGUUAAUUACUUGAAAAGAACGGCGGCGGUAGCACGGCGUAGUUCGUUGAUCGUUGGCUCAUGGUAACAGAAUUGUACUAAAAUAACAGCCUUCAUUGGCGGAUCGACGACACUGAGCUCAAGUCUAAACUGAAAAUCUGUGUAACUUCUUCACCAGAAGGCCUAGAAAGAAGCAAAACCCCUUUUUCCUCUAUUGACCAAUAGCACGCAAACACACACGGACUGACUCGCUUUCCAUUUCCUAUUCAAAAUUUUGAUUCCUUGAUCCUUCGGCCUGUUCUAGAGCCAACAACGCUCUCUCAAAUAUUUUUAUUUUUUUAUUUUAAUUAAUUUAUUCUCGUAUAGAUCAUAUAUCUAUAACAUCAAACGAUGUCUCCAGGUUCAUCUCUCUCACUCUCUCUCACUCUCAUACAAUCCAAGCGCUACUGUAUUUAAGCCUUAGCUUCUGAUUUCUUUACAGUUCGGAAACUCAUGGCUACCGUAUCCAAUUCGCUCUCUCUAAAGCACGGCUUAUCUCUCUGCUCUCCACACUUUUCUUCUCUCAAUCGAAGUUUCCGCACUCCUACUGUUGGAUAUCGAACUGUCUACCGGAACUACGUCGUCGCGUCCUCUGCCUUCUCAAAUGAGAAUCGAGAGUUUGUCAUCGUUGGUGGCGGGAAUGCGGCGGGAUAUGCUGCGCGGACUUUUGUCGAGCACGGAAUGGCCGAUGGAAGGCUCUGUAUUGCGACUAAGGAGCCACAUGCUCCCUAUGAGCGACCAGCUUUAACUAAAGGGUACUUGUUUCCUCUAGAUAAGAAGCCCGCGCGUUUGCCUGGAUUUCAUACUUGUGUUGGAUCUGGUGGCGAAAGGCAAACUUCAGAUUGGUAUAAAGAGAAAGGGAUUGAGAUGUUGUAUGAAGAUCCAGUGACAAGCAUUGAUAUUGAGAAGCAAACACUCACAACAAACUCAGGCAGGCUUCUCAAGUAUGGAACUCUUAUCAUUGCUACAGGAUGUACGGCAUCAAGAUUUCCAGAGAAAAUAGGAGGAAAUUUACCUGGUGUUCACUACAUCAGGGAUGUUGCAGAUGCUGAUGCAUUAAUAUCAUCUUUGGAGAUGGCACGGAAGGUGGUGGUCAUUGGUGGUGGUUACAUUGGCAUGGAGGUUGCGGCGGCAGCUGUUGGUUGGAAACUUGAUACUACAAUCAUUUUUCCAGAGAAGCAUCUUUUGCAAAGGUUAUUCACUCCUUCACUCGCUCAGAGAUAUGAAGAGUUAUACAAAGAGAAUGGUGUCAAAUUCUUAAAGGGUGCCUCUAUAAAAAACUUGGAAGCUGGUACAGAUGGACGGGUAGCUUCUGUUAAACUUGAAGAUGGAUCUAUUAUAGACGCAGACACGGUAAUAAUAGGUAUUGGGGCAAAGCCAGCUGUCAGUCCCUUUGAAAGAGUGGGGUUGAAUACCACUGUUGGUGGAAUACAGGUUGAUGGUUUGUUCAGGACAAAUAUAACUGGAAUUUUUUCAAUUGGAGAUGUCGCAGCAUUCCCCUUAAAGAUGUAUAACCGUACAGCAAGAGUUGAACAUGUAGACCAUGCUCGUAGAUCGGCACAGCAUUGUGUUAAAGCAUUACUUACUGCUCAGACUACCUUAUAUGAUUAUCUCCCAUACUUUUAUUCAAGGGUAUUUGAGUACGAAGGGAGCCCGAGAAAAAUAUGGUGGCAGUUUUUUGGAGACAAUGGUAUAAAUCUAUUAAGAGUUCUACGAUUUCAUUCUUGUGUCAUGUUUAAGGAAUAUUUCUCUAUUUGAUUAUCUUCUGUACAUUUUGUGAUUAUUUAACUCACUAUUACUUGUCUAAUUUGAAGUUGGAGAGACAAUAGAGAUUGGGAAUUUCGAUCCUAAGAUUGCAACUUUCUGGAUAGAUUCUGGUAAUACAAAUCAAGUCCACUUUCUCUCUCUCUCUCUCCCUCACAGGCAUUCCGGCACAAUCCUGCAUAGAUAAUUAUUUAUCAUUUGCGGGGAGAUAGUAUAGUUAAUUCUUGCUUUGCCACAGGCAAACUGAAAGGAGUUCUGCUUGAAAGUGGAAGUCCCGAGGUAUUCUUUCUAGGCCCAUUUAGAUUUGGGAGUUGGGAUUAGUGUAGAGCAGAUUUCUUCCCCCUCCCUUAUUUUUUAAGAUUUUAUUUUCCGAAAGUGACUUGGAUUAAUAUCAGUUUGAAGAACCUGCUCCCCCAUUUUCUUGCUCGUUCGCUGUUCUUGGUAAGUUCUACAAUGUUUUACUUUACCAAUGUUGUUAUGUGAUGUUUUAGGAAUUUCAACUUCUUCCGAAACUUGCAAGGAGCCAGCCUAGUGUUGAUAAAUCCAAACUUCAGAAAGCAUCUUCAGUUGAGGAGGCGCUACAAAUAGCUCAGGAAUCCCUACAAGCUGCAGUUUAGUUGAGAAUUACGUAGCCAGUUUUAAAUAUAAUAAAGUUUAUCGCUAAAAAUUUUUUUACAGUUGAUGCUUUAUGUUAUUGACAGUGGUUUAUAUUAGUAAGAUGUGACUUUCUAAAAUUUCCUAAUAAAUUUUAUUAUAAGUAUU